CUAAGCUCAUUCGUCCCCUGAGUCCAGGCCAAGCUCAAGAUUUUUUAUUUAAUUGAAAGCUAGAGAGAGAGAGAGAGAGAGAGAGAGAGAGAGAGAGAUAGUCAGGGAGACGGCCAUGGAGAGUAGAAUCUCUGCAUCCCUCGGCCUCCCGUCCCCCAACCCCAGCUGCCAUAGCCGAGCUCUCAUUGCAUUCGAUGGCAUCGUCAACCACUUCAAUGCCCUGGUGUCCUCCCCAGAUCUCCAUUCCUUAAACCCUAUCACCAAAACCCCGAACAUCAUCGAUGCCGCUAACACUGCUUACUGCUUCUCUUCGACUUCUCUGUCCAUGAAAACCCGGAAAUGGCCCAAACCCGCCUCCAGAGACAGCCUCCAUGUCCGCUCUCUCAUCAAGAAUCUCUCCCUAUUCGAGCGUGCCCUCAUAGGCGCUUCCGCCGGCGGCAUCGCCGGCGCCUUCACCUACGUCUGUCUCCACCCCCUCGACACCAUCAAAACAAAGCUCCAGACUAGAGGUGCCGCAAAAAUUUACAGAAACACGUUUGAUGCCAUAAUCAAAACUUUCCAAACAAAGGGAAUUCUAGGGUUCUACAGCGGCGUAUCGGCCGUAAUUGUUGGCUCCACCGCUUCUUCGGCGGUGUAUUUCGGGACCUGCGAGUUUGGGAAGUCGCUUCUGUCGAAAUUGCCUCAGUACCCACCUCUGCUCAUACCCCCAACCGCCGGAGCAAUGGGCAAUAUCAUGUCGUCGGCGAUUAUGGUGCCCAAGGAGCUCAUUACGCAGAAGAUGCAAGCGGGGGCGAAGGGUAGAUCGUGGGAGGUUCUGUUAAGGAUUCUAGAAAAAGAUGGGUUUUUGGGUCUUUAUGCAGGGUACUCUGCUACAUUGCUCAGGAAUUUGCCUGCUGGCGUUUUGAGUUAUUCGUCGUUCGAGUAUUUGAAAGCUGCCGUUUUAAGUAAGACGAGGAAGGCUAAUCUGGAUCCACUUCAGAGCGUGUGCUGCGGGGCAUUGGCUGGUGCGAUAUCAGCGUCAAUCACGACGCCUUUGGAUGUUGUGAAGACGAGGUUGAUGACCCAGGUUCAUGGGGAGGCAAUGAACAAGGUUGCUGCGGCUAUGUACACUGGGGUUUCGGCUACCGUGAAACAAAUUUUGAAGGAAGAGGGAUGGAUUGGAUUGACCCGUGGAAUGGGUCCUCGAGUUCUUCAUAGUGCUUGUUUUUCGGCAUUGGGUUACUUUGCCUUUGAGACGGCUAGGCUCACAAUCUUGCAUCAUUAUCUGAAACGGAAAGAGUUGGACUUGGAUGAAAUUGCUGUUGCUCCCUCCUGAUCCAGUGGCAUCAAAAUCAUAUGUUCUCGGAAGAGACAGUGUGUUCCUUCCUCUUUGUUCCUUCAAAUGCAGGAAGAAAAGCUACAUAGAGCAACAGUAGCAAAGGGUGAUUUCCUCUGAUAGUCAAAUGUUGGGGCUCAAUAAUUGACUGUCAUUUGAAGAUUACAAAUUGAAUGUUGGCAACGAAUCUUAGCAAGAAAUUGGCUACGAACACUUGAGGAUGAGGGGAAGAUUAACGAGAGUGUGGGUGAAGAAAAUGGAAGAAGAUAUAGUGAAAUUCUAUAAACAGAAGUAUGACCAUAAAUUGAGCUGAAUAAGAAGAAGGAUUAAUGUAACUGAUUCUAGGCCGGUUUGAUGUUGUCAUCGUUGUGGUUGUGGUUGUCUUUUCGGUGUUUGUUGGGUCAGAUGUGUUAAUGGCAAAUGGCAGUGGACUGAUUAGUGACAAAAUGAAAUUUUGAUGCUCUGCGUCUGUUUAUUUGUUUAUGGGGAGCUGAAAAUCACAUGGCCAAAAAAUAAUUGUACUUGUUUUUAACUGUAUAAUUCUUAAUUUUUUUUUAGUGUUGAGGUGUAUCCAUCUUUAAUUUAAAUUUUCUAGAGAA